AAGCAUGACUGAGUUACGUAAAGCCUCCCUAUUGCUUGGCACAUACAGAAAAAAGGGGUUUCUAUGAACACUGGAGGUCACAGAAGGUUGACUGACACAUAACACUUAUCUUUAAUUCUUUUGUCUUUUUGAUUAACUACCAUAGUAGUAUUUUGUACAGUGAAACAUCCACACAAUGCACAGUAGGCAGCCAAGUGUUAAUAUAUCUGUUUUUGAUUUCUACCUUUCUCUGGUGUCCCCUUAAGGUAACAUUGGUGCGAAUGCUGGUCUACUCAACAUAUGCGUUCCGACACAACAGGAGCAGAUAAUAAGCCACAUUAAUGGUGCGUGAAAUAAAACAUUUUCUGUGCUGAACUUUCCCCUGCUGCUCCUACCUAGAGUGACUUUUUGCUUUGUUGUGUACUCUAGCAAAUAUACUACGCAGUUCAUUUGAUGCCGAAAGCAACUCUCCCACCAUAGGGGGAUGUCACGUUUUUUGAAAUUGUAUGCAAACUUUUGAAUAUACGGCUUGGCAUUUUUGCUUGGUAUCUUUAUCCUUUCGUCAACCUUUACUGUAGCCACUUUGCUACUUUUCUGCAGGUGCAGACAUGCCAUGGCACCAAUGCUAAACUAAGAAAACACCAGAGCAAGGUAGAAAGAACAGAUAUUCAUAAUUUGGGUGCCCACUGUGCAAUGGGUGGAUACGUUUCAAUGAAUGGUAAAACUGCGUGG
rnacentral:lncRNA from 1 species